UACGGGGGGGGUAAGCGUUGUUCGGAAUUACUGGGCGUAAAGGGCUCGUAGGCGGCCAACUAAGUCAGACGUGAAAUCCCUCAGCUUAACUGGGGAACUGCGUCUGAUACUGGAUGGCUUGGAUUCGGGAGAGGUAUGCGGAAUUCCAGGUGUAGCGGUGAAAUGCGUAGAUAUCUGGAGGAACACCGGUGGCGAAGGCGGCCAUCUGGCUCGGUACUGACGCUCAGGCGCGAAAGCGUGGGGAGCAAACAGG
rnacentral:rRNA from 1 species